rfam:Oryza nivara chromosome 10, whole genome shotgun sequence.
GGCGCCGGAACAAGUCACGGUGAUGGCGACGGUGCGCCGGUCGGAGCCACGGCUGGGUGGCACCUACCUGCCGCAGGAAGAGGAGGUCGGCGCCGACGGAGUGAAGUGGUUCCGACCGGCCGC